rnacentral:rRNA from 1 species
GAUGAACGCUGGCGGCGUGCCUAAUACAUGCAAGUCGAGCGAACAGACGAGGAGCUUGCUCCUCUGACGUUAGCGGCGGACGGGUGAGUAACACGUGGAUAACCUACCUAUAAGACUGGGAUAACUUCGGGAAACCGGAGCUAAUACCGGAUAAUAUAUUGAACCGCAUGGUUCAAUAGUGAAAGACGGUUUUGCUGUCACUUAUAGAUGGAUCCGCGCCGCAUUAGCUAGUUGGUAAGGUAUCGGCUUACCAAGGCAACGAUGCGUAGCCGACCUGAGAGGGUGAUCGGCCACACUGGAACUGAGACACGGUCCAGACUCCUACGGGAGGCAGCAGUAGGGAAUCUUCCGCAAUGGGCGAAAGCCUGACGGAGCAACGCCGCGUGAGUGAUGAAGGUCUUCGGAUCGUAAAACUCUGUUAUUAGGGAAGAACAAAUGUGUAAGAAACUAUGCACGUCUUGACGGUACCUAAUCAGAAAGCCACGGCUAACUACGUG